GAAAAGAACCCCGGCGAGGGGAGUGAAAAAGAACCUGAAACCGUGUACGUACAAGCAGUGGGAGCCCCACCACUAAGCCAGUGGUGAACUCCACAUACGCAUCCUUUGCUGAGGAUACGGUUAACGGAGCGAAAGCGACGUUCAACCGCAAAAGAAGCAGAGGGGGCUUAGUGGUGGGGUGACUGCGUACCUUUUGUAUAAUGGGUCAGCGACUUAUAUUCUGUAGCAAGGUUAACCGUAUAGGGGAGCCGUAGGGAAACCGAGUCUUAACCGGGCGUUAAGUUGCAGGGUAUAGACCCGAAACCCGGUGAUCUAGCCAUGGGCAGGUUGAAGGUUGGGUAACACUAACUGGAGGACCGAACCGACUAAUGUUGAAAAAUUAGCGGAUGACCUGUGGCUGGGGGUGAAAGGCCAAUCAAACCGGGAGAUAGCUGGUUCUCCCCGAAAGCUAUUUAGGUAGCGCCUCGUGAAUUCAUCUCCGGGGGUAGAGCACUGUUUCGGCUAGGGGGCCAUCCCGGCUUACCAACCCGAUGCAAACUGCGAAUACCGGAGAAUGUUAUCACGGGAGACACACGGCGGGUGCUAACGUCCGUCGUGAAGAGGGAAACAACCCAGACCGCCAGCUAAGGUCCCAAAGUCAUGGUUAAGUGGGAAACGAUGUGGGAAGGCCCAGACAGCCAGGAUGUUGGCUUAGAAGCAGCCAUCAUUUAAAGAAAGCGUAAUAGCUCACUGGUCGAGUCGGCCUGCGCGGAAGAUGUAACGGGGCUAAACCAUGCACCGAAGCUGCGGCAGCGACGCUGAUGCGUUGUUGGGUAGGGGAGCGUUCUGUAAGCCUGUGAAGGUGGCCUGUGAGGGUUGCUGGAGGUAUCAGAAGUGCGAAUGCUGACAUAAGUAACGAUAAAGCGGGUGAAAAGCCCGCUCGCCGGAAGACCAAGGGUUCCUGUCCAACGUUAAUCGGGGCAGGGUGAGUCGACCCCUAAGGCGAGGCCGAAAGGCGUAGUCGAUGGGAAACGGGUUAAUAUUCCCGUACUUGGUGUUACUGCGAAGGGGGGACGGAGAAGGCUAUGUUGGCCGGGCGACGGUUGUCCCGGUUUAAGCGUGUAGGUGUGUGUUCCAGGUAAAUCCGGUUCACUUUAACACUGAGGCGUGAUGACGAGGCACUACGGUGCUGAAGCAACAAAUGCCCUGCUUCCAGGAAAAGCCUCUAAGCAUCAGGUAACAUCAAAUCGUACCCCAAACCGACACAGGUGGUCAGGUAGAGAAUACCAAGGCGCUUGAGAGAACUCGGGUGAAGGAACUAGGCAAAAUGGUGCCGUAACUUCGGGAGAAGGCACGCUGACACGUAGGUGAAGUGAUUUACUCACGGAGCUGAAGUCAGUCGAAGAUACCAGCUGGCUGCAACUGUUUAUUAAAAACACAGCACUGUGCAAACACGAAAGUGGACGUAUACGGUGUGACGCCUGCCCGGUGCCGGAAGGUUAAUUGAUGGGGUCAGCGCAAGCGAAGCUCCUGAUCGAAGCCCCGGUAAACGGCGGCCGUAACUAUAACGGUCCUAAGGUAGCGAAAUUCCUUGUCGGGUAAGUUCCGACCUGCACGAAUGGCGUAAUGAUGGCCAGGCUGUCUCCACCCGAGACUCAGUGAAAUUGAACUCGCUGUGAAGAUGCAGUGUACCCGCGGCAAGACGGAAAGACCCCGUGAACCUUUACUAUAGCUUGACACUGAACAUUGAGCCUUGAUGUGUAGGAUAGGUGGGAGGCUUUGAAGCGUGGACGCCAGUCUGCGUGGAGCCGACCUUGAAAUACCACCCUUUAAUGUUUGAUGUUCUAACGUGGACCCGUUAUCCGGGUUGCGGACAGUGUCUGGUGGGUAGUUUGACUGGGGCGGUCUCCUCCUAAAGAGUAACGGAGGAGCACGAAGGUUGGCUAAUCCUGGUCGGACAUCAGGAGGUUAGUGCAAUGGCAUAAGCCAGCUUGACUGCGAGCGUGACGGCGCGAGCAGGUGCGAAAGCAGGUCAUAGUGAUCCGGUGGUUCUGAAUGGAAGGGCCAUCGCUCAACGGAUAAAAGGUACUCCGGGGAUAACAGGCUGAUACCGCCCAAGAGUUCAUAUCGACGGCGGUGUUUGGCACCUCGAUGUCGGCUCAUCACAUCCUGGGGCUGAAGUAGGUCCCAAGGGUAUGGCUGUUCGCCAUUUAAAGUGGUACGCGAGCUGGGUUUAGAACGUCGUGAGACAGUUCGGUCCCUAUCUGCCGUGGGCGCUGGAGAACUGAGGGGGGCUGCUCCUAGUACGAGAGGACCGGAGUGGACGCAUCACUGGUGUUCGGGUUGUCAUGCCAAUGGCACUGCCCGGUAGCUAAAUGCGGAAGAGAUAAGUGCUGAAAGCAUCUAAGCACGAAACUUGCCCCGAGAUGAGUUCUCCCUGAGACUUAGAGUCUCCUGAAGGAACGUUGAAGACGACGACGUUGAUAGGCCGGGUGUGUAAGCGCAGCGAUGCGUUGAGCUAACCGGUACUAAUGAACCGUGAGGCUUAACCUU
rnacentral:rRNA from 1 species